rnacentral:rRNA from 1 species
CCCCGGCGCCCCGAGUGGCAAUCACGUUUAUUGGGCCUAAAGCAUUUGUAGCCGGACACUUAAGUCUUCUGUGAAAUUAAUCAGCUUAACUGGUUAGCGUGCAGAAGAUACUGAAUGUCUAGGAACCGGGAGGAGUUAGAGGUAUUCUGAGGGGAGCGGUAAAAUGUGAUAAUCCUCGGAAGACCACCAGUGGCGAAGGCGUCUAACUAAAACGGAUUCGACGGUGAGGAAUGAAGGCUAGGGGAGCAAAAGG